ACGUAAAAUGAGUAUUCUGGAUUUUUGAUAUCGAGCUGAUUAGGAUUGGAUAUAGGUUUUUUUAUUAUUUUAGGUCCUAAAUGCAAAUCGUGUUCAUUCAUAUCUUUGUAAGACAAUACAUAACUGUUUAGUUUUAGUAGAUUUUGACUCAAUAGUAUAUUCUGCCUGAUACCGAUCGAGAUUUCCCUGAGGUGUUUGUAUAAGUAAUGUGGAAACACAUUAACUGUUGUCUUGUCCGUCUGCUCCAACCAUGUAAACUGUUUUGAUUCCGAUUCAUCAAAUGGUUGGACAAACUUGAUACUACCAAAAUUAUUGCAUCGAUGAAUUAACAAUAAAAAAUAAUCGUUAUCCCUAUUUAAAUUUCUCCAAUCCACGGACAUCCGCUUUCGUGUUAGUUCUUUCGUCAAGAACUCAGAAAGAACGGGUGUAUCAUGGUAUAUUCCUUUGAGAUUACAGAAGGACGUAACUUGUGUUAUAACAUCCAAAGCAUUGAAUAAAUUCCUAUGAAAUUGGUUACUCGGCAUACGAUAUUUAUAACUUAAAAAAUCGUUAAUCGGCCAUACCCAUUUUGGCGGAUGGUAGCCUAUGCUCAUGAUAGAUUUUAUUGAAUUUUCCAUCGUCUUUGAAUAUAAAGAAUUAAUUUGGAUAAUGUCUUGGAAUGAUUCUUGAUGCAAUAAACUGUAAUCUACUAACGUAUGUACAAAGUUCAAAUGCUUUUUGGUGAAGUUCGCGUACGUACAUUGAACAGCGAAUGUUUUAUCGUAUAUCAUUUUGUGUAGAUAAUCUCGAAUCUCAUAGUCGUUUAAAGUCUCGAAAUUGGGUAGAUUUAUUAUGUUAGUAUUUAAUGAUGAAGUAGUUAUGAUGUUAUUGUACAUGUCACUUACGUAUUGAAUUAGAGUUUCAGUAUCCAUUUGGGAUUCUCUACUUUCGCCAAUCAAAAACAAUGCAAUUAAGAUAAACCCUGUUGUUUGACAAUUUGUGAUUUUAAAAUAUUUCAUUUUCACAAAAAAAAAAAACAAAUUGAUAAUAAAUAUGUCUUCACG